UGGAGUUGAAGUUCAUCGUACGCCUCCUUUAGCUUAUCCUUCUUCGCGUCGAUCAAUUUCAGAGCGGCUUCGAUCGUAUUCAAUGUUUGCCUCUCCCUCGUAGGUGCAUUCGCCAUCUUUUUUGUCUACCCUGCCGGCCGUACAGGAUGAAAUUGUUCAGGCACCCGUGUCGGGUUUCGUCGUGAACUGACCGACGGUGAGACGAGUGGAGGAGAAAGGGACGGAGGAUCUGGAUCGAGA
rnacentral:lncRNA from 1 species